CCCGCUGAACUUAAGCAUAUCAAUAAGCGGAGGAAAAGAAACUAACAAGGAUUCCCCUAGUAACUGCGAGUGAAGCGGGAAAAGCUCAAAUUUAAAAUCUGGCGGUCUUUGGCCGUCCGAGUUGUAGUCUGGAGAAGUGCUUUCCGCGCUGGACCGUGUACAAGUCUCUUGGAACAGAGCGUCAUAGAGGGUGAGAAUCCCGUCUUUGACACGGACUACCAGUGCUUUGUGAUGCGCUCUCAACGAGUCGAGUUGUUUGGGAAUGCAGCUCAAAAUGGGUGGUAAAUUCCAUCUAAAGCUAAAUAUUGGCGAGAGACCGAUAGCGAACAAGUACCGUGAGGGAAAGAUGAAAAGCACUUUGGAAAGAGAGUUAAACAGUACGUGAAAUUGCUGAAAGGGAAACGAUUGAAGUCAGUCGCGUUGGCCGGAACUCAGCCUUGCUUCCGCUUGGUGUAUUUUCUGGUUGACGGGCCAGCAUCAGUUUUGAUCGUUGGAUAAAGGCUGGGGGAAUGUGGCACCUUCGGGUGUGUUAUAGCCCUCGGUCACAUACAACGGCUGGGACUGAGGAUCGCAGCACGCCUUUAUGGUCGGGGUUCGCCCACGUAUGUGCUUAGGAUGCUGGCAUAAUGGCUUUAAACGACCCGUCUUGAAACACGGACCAAGGAGUCUAACAUGCCCGCGAGUGUUUGGGUGGAAAACCCGAGCGCGUAAUGAAAGUGAAAGUUGAGAUCCCUGUCAUGGGGAGCAUCGACGCCCGGACCUGAACUUCUGUGACGGCUCUGCGGUGGAGCGUGUAUGUUGGGACCCGAAAGAUGGUGAACUAUGCCUGAAUAGGGUGAAGCCAGAGGAAACUCUGGUGGAGGCUCGUAGCGAUUCUGACGUGCAAAUCGAUCGUCAAAUUUGGGUAUAGGGGGCGAAAGACUAAUC
rnacentral:rRNA from 1 species